AUAUUCAGAACAGCUGCUUCUUUUUGGUUGCUGGUGGCAGGGAUAUUAUGGAGGCAACAGACGCAUGAGAGUGAGGUAUUUAUCUGAGGGCGAUUGAAGUCACCAGCUUAACAGUAGUGGAAAGACCUUAAGCCAGAGAACUCCAGGUUCAAGAACCACCACCUGCAAACUUGGCAAAUUUGGACAAAUGUCUCUCUGAGUUUCAUUGUCUUCAUCCACAAAUAAAGCAAGAUUACUUCGCCUACAGAAUUGCGAAAUUAUGACCAGACCAUGAGGGUAUGAAGGAUGAGGAAAAGGGAGCAGUCAUGGAGCUGUUUUGGAGGGAGUCAUAAUUCCUUAGACCUCUGACAACUGGAACUCUCAAUCUGCCAGUGAAAGCUGACAUGAGCCCAAUAAGGAUGGUCUUUUCUAUUCAAAGAUAGGGACACCCUCUUUUUAAAGGACAUUCAAUUCAAAUGUAUCUUCUCUGGUUAAAGUAUGGUGAAGUCUGUCCUGUGGGCACUCCCCAUUGACUCCUAGCAGCUCUUGAGCCCCAUCUUCAGGAUCCGUACUUUGAUAGUCACUGACAAUUAGCUUUGAAAAUCUAUAGUUCCAAUCCUGUGAAAUGAGAAGAAUGUUGAAGCUAUAAAGGAGGUCUUUGCCUGCAUUCAGAUUCUGACACCAAAGACUCCUCUGAUUAUACUGAAGUAUGUAAGAAAACCUUCUCUUGAAAUCAAGGACCAUUUCUCUUCAUCUUAUCUUGAGCUACAUACCAAAUAUGAGUACACAUAGUUAGGAUUCAAUAAAUAAUUUAAGAUACUUGUGAACACCUUGCUCUGACUGGUUCUAUUUUUACAUUCAGAGAGGAAAGCAUCCUGUAUUCUCCCUAUAAACAAAUCUAGGAGAAUAGGGUCAUGGACAUCCUAUGUACACAGAAUUACAGUCCGAUGUUGGGUAUCUUACUCCUGUGAAGUGAAGGGAAAUAGAAAAGUAAACAAAGAAGACCACAGUAUAAGAUGUCACCUUAAAAUAUAAACCUGAAGACAAGAAAAACCAGGCUCAAGGAACAAAUGAGCAGGAAAGUUGAAAUUCUAGAAUACAUUUGUUUUAUACCAAUAUUAUUUGCAUCUUGUUUAAAUGAAAAGUUGUUUACAUACACAAUGGAUGACUACAAAGAAACAGCAUGGAAACUGGAAUCAGAGGCCUGUGUCUGAAUUUCAUGUCUACCACUGAACAACUGCAUGACACUGGGAAAUUUACUUAGUUUCUAUAGACCUCAUUUUUCUUAUCUGUAAAAUGGCUUCCACAAUCUGAAACUCAAAGGUCUCUUGACAAGAUUGAAUGUGAUAAUGCAUGUAAGGGAUCAGGACGAAACCCAGCACAAAAAAAGACUGCAAGCCACACUGUUUACAAACACCGUUUCCAAGUAAAAAAAAAACCUGCUCAUUGAAACUGAAGGCACCAGUGUCUGUUGGGUUCAGCACGUAGUGAGACGCUCAACUACCUGCCUCAGGUAAGCUUAGUGUGCUUACGUACUUCACUAACGAUAGCUAGUUUAGAGGUUCUUUCCUCGUAAUUCAGGUGAUAUAAUUGCUCUAUGGUUAUGCCCUACCCACCUUGUCUUAAACAGUGCAAAAUAUGUGAUAUCAUUACACAUUUCUUAUCAGGAAAAUAUUUCAAAGGGCAGGCACUCUCUGUGUUUCCUUAGUAACAGCAGCUAUGUGGAGCAUCUUCUGUAUUAUGUUUAACAUGGUGCAAAUAUGAACAAGUAAUCACAACUCCUGUGCACCAGCAACUAGAGAAAUGUAGCUACAAUAAAAUAGGUGGCAUUCAUAUUUGUUUGUUGGCCAUACCUGGGACUUUUUAAGAACCUGUUUUUGGUUAAUCUUGUUUUUUUUUUUAAAUUCUAAACCCUUUUUUGUGUAAUGUUGCAGCAGAAGCGAGGGUCUCAGAAAACAUCUCCUGUUCUGAUCUGGCACAGUUCCAAUUAUAUGGAUAACCUUCCAUUUGUAAAGCUCUGAAAUAAGUGUCACAAGGAUACGUAGAUUUAAGAUGCAGGUCCAUCUAGAAGAAGUACAAUCUGGUUGAAGGAUGGUGGGGCAAUACAACAAGUACAUAACUCACUUUGUUGCAAGGCAUAAUUGGUAAAUCCUCAUCUACUGGGACUACAGAAGUUUGACAACCCCUGUCUCUCGUGUCUUAUGGCCACCAAUGACUGCAGUCUUUCAUUGUGAAUUUGGGUUUCGUCUCAGAAAUCUUCUCAACAUGAUGCUCUGUCAAGCCAACAAUGUUUGAGCAGUCAGCCAUUUGUUUAAUAUCUCUGGAUUAUUGCAUUGGUAAUUCUUGCUGAAAACACUCAAGUCACCUGGGAGAACUGAUCUGUUUAUUAAUAGCUUUUAGGAUUUCAACAUUUCAUAUUUAAACAGAGAAAUCUAACAUUACUUGACAGAAAACAGGAGUGGUCAUAGGAAUGAAAAAUUCACAUAUCUUUGGGAACCAAGUUAUUAUUAUCAAUGAGUGUCAUGGACUGGAUAAGAAAACAAGGACUGGUUGGACCAGAAUUAUAGCAGGAUACAGACACAAAGGCAUUUAAAUUUUAAAAUUCUAAGAAUGAAAUAUAACUAUAGUAAAUACAUCUUUGGACUACUUUUGGCUUAUGGAUCAUGGUUUGCAAACCCUUGAUCUGUGACAUAGAUGUUAAAGGUGGGGUAAUGAGGUUGUGUGUGCAGAUCUCCAAACACCAGAGCAUCAUGGGCAGCACUAACCUGCAUGGUGCCCUUAGGAGGGCUGUAAGCCAGAAGCAAGUUCUCCAUUCUGCCCUAGUCAGGCGUGACUAUACCAAGGCUUAUAACUGGAGAUACAAGCCAAGCCAUAUACCUGGCAAUUCAGCAAAGUUCAGAGAAAUAUGGCAUGAAUUCAUACAAAUUAAUCAAGUGCAUAACAUUAAGAAACUGCAAUUUUGAGUUGUGCGUAUGCUUAUAGUGGCCCAUUUCUAAAUUAAAAGGAAGACUAUUUCUGUU
ensembl:lncRNA KCNH7-AS1 KCNH7 antisense RNA 1